ensembl:lncRNA
GCUUUGAUGUGGUGUUGGUGAGGUGCUGUAGCCAGAACUGCAUGCUCCAAGCUCAUCAUGUAUUUCCUGCUUUGGCCCUACAAUCAGCACUUUCCUCCUGGGACCCCUGGUUCCUUGGAUUGGAGAAGAGUACCAGAAACCAAGUUCUGGGCAUGAGGCAUGCUUGGAUGGGAUCUUGCUAAGCUGCCCGGGCUAGCCUCGAACUCAGAAUCCUCCUCCCUUAACAGCUCAGGUAGGAUAACAGCACAUACCAGAGCUGAGUCAGGAGCAUUCUCUGAAAGCUGCUGCCAAGCCCCUGCAUCCCUGGACUGAGCGAGCAGGUUGGCACUGCCAUCUGGAACCUCUCUUCUACCUAGCACAAAGAACUUGAUGGGGGUUCUGAGAAUGGAGAAAAGAAGGCUAGCUCCAAGAGCUGCAAGAGUUUUCCAGCAGCAGAAGAAACCAAAUGUGCCCAAGACUACCAGCUCUCCACCAAAGCUCAUUCCACACUCCUCCAAGAGUAUGGACUGGGUUACAAUUCCAAGUACAGAGAGAGAACGUUGUCAUGUGACCAAAACCCAGCCAAAUGAAUGUGAGAAAAAAAUUGUAGGUAUCCUUUCAUUGCUCAGCGCGCCUCUUUGAACAUCUUCCUCCAAUCAGUGGCUGUCACUAAGAUGUACAUUCAAAUGAUGACAAUGACCUAUUUUUGAUGACUUUUUGGAGCACAGCUCAACUAUCCCUCCUGGACUGAUGUGUGGAAGAGAAAUAAACUUGUUU